UACGGAGGGUGCAAGCGUUGUUCGGAUUUAUUGGGCGUAAAGCGCGUGUAGGCGGUUUCUUAAGUCUGAUGUGAAAGCCCCGGGCUCAACCCGGGAAGUGCAUUGGAUACUGGGAGACUUGAAUACGGGAGAGGGUAGUGGAAUUUCUAGUGUAGGAGUGAAAUCCGUAGAUAUUAGGAGGAACACCGGUGGCGAAGGCGGCUACCUGGACCGAUAUUGACGCUGAGACGCGAAAGCGUGGGGAGCAAACAGG
rnacentral:rRNA from 1 species